AUUAUGGAGCUCAGAGAAGUAGUCAGGGCCGACUCUUAGAAAUUGCAGCUCUCCUGUUUACCUGUAAUCAUUUCAGUUGGAAUUACAAAGCAGGUCAGCUAAAAAGAGUCAGCCUGUGAAGCAUUGUGUUUAACUUGGAUUCACCUGGAGAGAUAGAAGUGGAUUCUGUGAUGUCUUCAAUAAAUCCAAAUACUUCUGAUUUAUUGCGGUUCUAAUUUGAGCUCACUGUGAUAGCCAGAUGCUAGACUCCUUCAUUUUCAAGAGGAUUUCUCUGUGUGCACUGACCCUGAAGCUUAGAACUGUGAACCACAAAAAACUAUACUUAAUGGAACUUUCAAGUAAAAAAUUUAUACAGUUU
rnacentral:sRNA from 1 species